AGAGGCAGGCAGAUCUCUGUGAGUUCGAGGCCAGCCUGGUCUACAGAACAAGUUCCAGGACAGCCAGGACUACAUGGAGACACCCUGUCUAAAGAA
rnacentral:miRNA from 1 species